AACAAGAGUGGAUUCAGAUAAAAGUAGAGAGAAUGGGAGAUGAAGAGAAUUGAGUAAGAGAGAGAACGAGAGCUUGGCAGAGAGGUAAAGAGGAUUUUAAAAUUCUGUGCGACGUGGAAGUAAUGUGAACAACUUCAGUUCUUCCUCCUCCUCCAUCUCCUGCUCCCCUUCCUCUCCCACAUCCUUCCUCUCGUCCUCCUCCUCCUCCUCCUCCCUUUUUCUCUUCUUCUCCACGCCCCUCGACAAAGGCGGCCCUCACACACGGACUCUGGAAGGAGCACGCCAAAGGCAGGGGAAGGAGAAGGGAAAAAUGCGCAACGAAAAGUGAACCACCGAACACGACAACAGCGAGCGCAAGUUAAAAGUACACGAACGGAUAUGCGCUAUGCGAACGCUGCAGCCGGCGAAGUGAAGGUGAAGUUGUGCUGACGAACGAGAGAAGAAGAAAAAACAAACAAAUCUACAAAUAAGAGAUCGAGAGAAAGAGAGAGAUGAGAGAAUAAGAGAGGGAGGGAGAUAUAAAAGAGAGAGAGAGAAAGAAAGAAAGAAAAAAAAAACUGGAAAUGAAAAGACAAAGCUUUGACUCAUAACAGUACAAAAGACGCGGGCACGGCAUCCACGGGACGCCGGGGCAGGUGUGCUCGAACGGUAAAGAGGACAGGAAACUGUUCGUGGGAAUGCUAAGUAAACAACAGACAGAAGAGGAUGUACGUCAGCUCUUCCAACCCUACGGGAACAUUGAGGAAUGCACCAUACUGAGGGGGCCGGACGGAGCCAGUAAAGGUUGCGCAUUUGUGAAGUACGGGUCACACACAGAGGCACAGGCGGCCAUCAACAGUCUCCACGGAAGUCAGACAAUGCCGG